AUUUGGAGAAGAUCAAGUGGCUGACUGAAAAGAAUGUCAAGCCGAGGGCACAGCUGCCUCAACAAUCAGGAGCCAUAAGGAAGAAUCUUUCCAAACGGGAUGCCACUGAUGAGGCUGUCCAGAACCAGGUACCAGAAAGGGGCAGCUGACCGUGCAGAUAUUUCUGAAGAACUUUCUUUUGCAAGGAUGCUGUCAAGAAGUUUCUUCAUAGUGAAGAUGCUACGACAUUUCCUGUGAUAUAAUACUGAUGGUAUGCUACCUUCAGGUAGGUCUGUAGCAAGAUCAAGGAUGGGGCUGUAGCCUCUUAUUUUAGCUGCUCUGAGUAGUGUGUUCCAUGAAUCUAUAUUC
ensembl:lncRNA